GGUUCCAUAGUGUAGUGGUUAGCAUGUCUGCUUUACACGCAGAAGGUCCUGGAUUUGCACCCCAGGAGAGCCA
rnacentral:tRNA from 1 species